rnacentral:rRNA from 1 species
UACGUAGGGGGCAAGCGUUGUCCGGAAUCAUUGGGCGUAAAGAGCGUGUAGGCGGCUCGAUAAGUCUGCUGUGAAAGUCCAGGGCUCAACCCUGGAAGGCCGGUGGAAACUGUCGGGCUAGAGUCCGGAAGAGGCGAGUGGAAUUCCCGGUGUAGCGGUGAAAUGCGCAGAUAUCGGGAGGAACACCAAUGGCGAAGGCAGCUCGCUGGGACGGUACUGACGCUGAGUGCGCGAAAGCCAGGGGAGCAAACGGG